CUGGUGGUCUUCUCUUGGUCUCUUAUCUUUUUUUUCUCAUGAAAUGUCUAAAUUUUUUGAUGAUUAAGGCUAAGUCCUCAUCUUCUUCAUUAUUCUCUGAUUUUUUUAAAUCUUCUUCUUCUUGAGCUGUCGACUUGAGAAUAAUUAUCUUCUUUCUUCUGGUCCCUUAGAAUGUUGCUUCAUGGUCAGCUCGUGGGUCAUGAGGGAUCCAAGUAGC
rnacentral:lncRNA from 1 species